rnacentral:rRNA from 1 species
GUGAGGAAUUUUCCGCAAUGGGCGAAAGCCUGACGGAGCAAUGCCGCGUGAAGGAUGAAGGCCUAUGGGUUGUAAACUUCUUUUCUUAGAGAAGAAUAUUGACGGUAUCUGAGGAAUAAGCAUCGGCUAACUCUGUGCCAGCAGCCGCGGUAAGACUGAGGAUGCAAGCGUUAUCCGGAAUGAUUGGGCGUAAAGCGUCUGUAGGUGGCUUCAAAAGUCUCCUGUCAAAGAUCAGGGCUUAACCCUGGGCCGGCAGGAGAAACUCUGAGGCUAGAGUUUGGUAGGGGCAGAGGGAAUUCCCGGUGGAGCGGUGAAAUGUGUAGAGAUCGGGAGGAACACCAAAGGCGAAAGCACUCUGCUGGGCCACAACUGACACUGAGAGACGAAAGCGAGGGGAGCAAAAGGGAUUAGAUACCCCUGUAGUCC